rnacentral:rRNA from 1 species
CCUACGGGUGGUAGCAGUGAGGAAUAUUGGUCAAUGGCCGGAAGGCUGAACCAGCCAAGUCGCGUGAGGGACGACUGCCCUAUGGGUUGUAAACCUCUUUUAUAAGGGAAGAAUAAAUGCUACGUGUAGCAUGAUGCCUGUACCUUAUGAAUAAGCAUCGGCUAACUCCGUGCCAGCAGCCGCGGUAAUACGGAGGAUGCGAGCGUUAUCCGGAUUUAUUGGGUUUAAAGGGUGCGUAGGCGGUAGAUCAAGUCAGCGGUAAAAUGUCGGGGCUCAACCCCGGCCGGCCGUUGAAACUGGUUUUCUAGAGUUGGAGAGAAGUAUGCGGAAUUCGUGGUGUAGCGGUGAAAUGCAUAGAUAUCACGAAGAACUCCGAUUGCGAAGGCAGCAUACCGGCUCCAUACUGACGCUGAGGCACGAAAGCGUGGGGAUCGAACAGGAUUAGAUACCCGAGUAGUC